rnacentral:misc_RNA from 1 species
AUACAAGCCAUAAUCCUUGUGCCACAUCCAUGAAAAACCCAAUAUACAAUUUGCAAUACCCACUUCUUCCCCGUUAUUAAGUUAUUUGUUUAGCUCCUGAAGCUAAAGGGGUUAUCAUGUUUCAGAACAUAGUGGAUACCAUUACUGGUGACAGUAGUAAUGUUAACAAGGAGAUGAAAUGUGUGAGUGGUGAGUGUAAGAAGAUCAAAGGCACUGUUGUGUUGAUGAAAAAGAAUGUUUUGGACUUCAAUGACUUCCCUGCCUCUGUUCUUGAUCAUCUUCAUGAGUUGUUUGGCCACGGAGUCUCUCUGCGACUCAUUAGUGCUGUCAACUGCAGUGAUGAGCCUGAAGCUGCAGAGAAUGGCAUGCGAGGGAAAGUAGGAAAGCCUGCAAAUUUGGAAGAUUGGAUUACUACAAAAGCUCCCUUAACAGCAGGAGACUCAGCAUUCAAAGUUACCUUUGAUUGGGAUGAUGAGAUUGCAGUUCCAGGGGCAUUCAUCAUAAGAAACAAUCAUCACAGUGAAUUUUACCUGAAAACUCUCACCCUUGAAGAUGUUCCUGGCCAAGGUCGAAUCCAUUUUGUCUGCAACUCAUGGGUUUACCCUGCCAAACGCUACAAGAAAGAUCGAAUUUUCUUUGCAAACAAGACAUAUCUGCCACAAGAGACACCAAUGCCACUGCUCAAAUACAGGGAGGAAGAACUCGAGAACUUGAGAGGAGAUGGAAAAGGAGAACUUCAGGAAUGGGAUCGUGUCUAUGAUUAUGCUUUCUAUAAUGAUUUGGGAGAGCCUGAUAAGGGUCCAAAGUAUGUCCGCCCAAUUCUUGGAGGAUCUGCAGAGUACCCUUAUCCUCGCAGGGGAAGAACUGGCAGAGCACCAGCAAAAUCAGAUCUCAACUAUGAAAGCAGGCUGCCGCUUCUGAUGAGCUUGAACAUAUAUGUUCCAAGAGAUGAACGAUUUGGUCACCUGAAGAUGGCUGACUUCCUUGCUUAUGCACUGAAAUCUAUAGCUCAAUUUAUUAAACCUGAACUAGAAGCCCUAUUUGACAGCACCCCAAAUGAAUUUGACUCUUUUGACGAUGUAUUAAAGCUCUAUGAGGGAGGGAUUGAGCUCCCUGAUGGCCCCUUACUGGAUAAUAUAAGGAAAAACAUUCCACUGGAGAUGCUUAAGGAAAUUUUCCGAACAGAUGGAGAGAGGCUUUUCAAAUUUCCAGUGCCUCAAGUAAUUAAAGAGAGUAAGACGGCAUGGAGGACUGAUGAAGAAUUUGGCAGAGAAAUGCUGGCUGGUGUAAACCCUGUCAUCAUUCGUUGUCUCAAGGAAUUCCCUCCAAAAAGCAAGCUAGACAGCAAACUAUAUGGUGAUCAAAACAGUAAAAUAACUGAAGGAGACAUAAAGAAUAGCCUGGAUGGAUUGCCCGUAGAUGAGGCAAUCAAGAACAACAAGUUAUACAUAUUAGACCACCAUGAUACAGUGAUGCCAUAUCUGAGGAGGAUAAAUGCUACUUCCACAAAGACAUAUGCAACAAGGACCCUACUUUUCUUGAAAGGUGAUGGUACUCUGAAGCCUAUUGCAAUUGAAUUAAGCUUGCCUCAUCCUGAGGGAGAUCAAUUCGGAGCUAUUAGCAAAGUUUACAUACCAGCUGAAAAUGGUGUUGAAAGUUCUAUUUGGCAAUUGGCUAAAGCUUAUGUGGCUGUAAUUGACUCUGGCAUUCACCAACUUAUUAGCCACUGGUUGCAUACACAUGCAGCAAUUGAGCCAUUUGUGAUUGCAACAAAUAGGCAUCUAAGUGUGCUUCAUCCGAUAUACAAACUUCUGCUCCCUCACUUCCGUGACACAAUGAACAUAAAUGCAGUUGCCAGACAGAUACUCAUUAAUGCUGCUGGAUUGUUGGAGUUUACAGUAUUUCCUGCAAAGUAUGCCAUGGAACUGACAUCCAUGGCUUACAAAAGCUGGAAUUUCACUGAGCAAGCGCUUCCUAAGGAUCUAAAGAAGAGAGGAAUGGCAGUUGAUGAUCCUAAUUCCCCACAUGGUCUCCGCUUACUGUUAAAAGACUACCCCUAUGCCGUUGAUGGGCUUGAGAUAUGGUCUGC